AUGUUUGACUGGCUGGUCACUUUGCUGUACCCUGUCUACUUUCCAUGUCUCCUUUGGGCACCUGGAGCAGUCCCUCGCAACUCUCACUUCUCAUUUCUUCACUCUGCAGGAUCAUUACCUAGUGACAGACUAUCUCCCUCACUAAGCACUGAGCUCUUUGCUCAAAGGGCACAGGUUAUUUCCCUCCAUCUUCUACCUCCAGCACCUGGCUCAGUGUCAGGGUCUGUACAGCAUGGGGAAUCAGUCACUGGCAUGGAUAUUGGCAAGUUGCCCCUGGGAGCAGGAGAUAGAAUUUGUCCCAUCUCUUAAUCCUUAAAUACUAUUUGUUUCAUCCUGUGCAAAAGGCCUUAUAAAAAAGGUUGGUUAAGUGCUCCCUGCAAAGAUGCUGCUCAGUUUCCCAUCUCUACACAUUUACCUAUCAGCAAUUACCUUGUACUCACACACAAGCAAGAGUAAUAGACAAUCAGGCAAUUGGACCCCCACAGUGUCAGGCCCUUAGAGCCACACAGUUGUCUCCACUAAUGACCAAGCCAAAUGGUAACUUGACAAGCAGCGACCUCUGUGGGAUCUGACCAUGGGUCCUUGCUUAGGAUUCUGAGGACUCUGUUGCAUUGCAGAAUCCCCUUCAUUAAGAUGCUUGGGAGAGAGUCCUGUCUGGUUUCAGCACCAAGGACAGAACUUCUUCCAAACAGUUUUUCUUAUCUUUUCUUGUGGACCCUAUAUAAGACCUUUUUUUAAAUAUAAAUUUAUUUAUUUUAAUUGGAGGUUAAUUACUUUANNNNNNNNNNNNNNNNNNNNNNNNNNNNNNNNNNNNNNNNNNNNNNNNNNNNNNNNNNNNNNNNNNNNACCCCCCUCCCUCCCCCCUCCCCGUAUCAUCCCUCUGAGUCAUCUCAGUUCACCAGCCCCAAGCAUCCAGUAUCAUGACAUUUUUAACCAACCAGCUUCCCCUUUUUGGUUAGAGCUAAAUUUGUGACCUACCCUAAGCAAGUAAACAGGUUUUAUGGUCAUGUUAAUCUUGUCCCUGAUUCUAUUUAAUGACUCUCAUUUACUUUCCUUUUUCCCUUGCUUUGAAUUUAAAAUGGAUAGAGAGAAGGAUAAGCCUUCAGAGAGAAGAUGGAAUACUGCUUAUCUCUUGUCUUCUCUCGACCUUCCACAGCCCCAACUAUUAGCACUCCCACAGCACUCUUCCCUUCUCUCCCACAACAUCAUCAGCUCAAAAACAGAUUUUUAAAAAUUAUUUUACAUGAUGGUGAAAAAGUUUUUAACCAUUUUUUGAGUCAUAGACCCCUUCGCUAAAAGCAUAGAUCUUUCCAGAAAAGAAUACACUCCCAUCCAAAAUGACUGAGUACAUAUCCAGGAGCUUUUGAUUAUAUGAAGUUGGACCCUGACCCAUGGACUGCAGGGGAUAAACCCUUGCUUG
rnacentral:lncRNA from 1 species